UAAGGAAUAUUGGACAAUGGACGCAAGUCUGAUCCAGCCAUGCCGCGUGAAGGAUUAAGGUCCUCUGGAUUGUAAACUUCUUUUAUUUGGGACGAAAAAAGAUCAUUCUUGAUCACUUGACGGUACCAGAUGAAUAAGCACCGGCUAACUCCGUG
rnacentral:rRNA from 1 species